UCAACAUUCGGACCGUCGGUCUACCGAGCAAGUCUACCCGCUCAUUGGAAGGCCUUCCUAUUGUGGU
rnacentral:pre_miRNA from 1 species